UACGGAGGGUGCAGGCGUUAUCCGGAUUCACUGGGUUUAAAGGGUGCGUAGGUGGGUUGGUAAGUCAGUGGUGAAAUCUCCAGGCUUAACUUGGAAACUGCCAUUGAUACUAUCAAUCUUGAAUACCGUGGAGGUCAGCGGAAUAUGUCAUGUAGCGGUGAAAUGCUUAGAUAUGACAUAGAACACCAAUUGCGAAGGCAGCUGGCUACACGAAUAUUGACACUGAUGCACGAAAGCGUGGGGAUCAAACAGG
rnacentral:rRNA from 1 species